UACGUAGGGGGCUAGCGUUGUCCGGAUUUAUUGGGCGUAAAGAGCGUGUAGGCGGCCAGGUAGGUCUGCUGUGAAAACUCGAGGCUCAACCUCGAGACGUCGGCGGAAACCAUCUGGCUAGAGUCCGGAAGAGGAGACUGGAAUUUACGGUGUAGCAGUGAAAUGCGUAGAUAUCGUAAGGAAGACCAGUGGCGAAGGCGGGUCUCUGGACAGUUCCUGACGCUGAGGCACGAAGGUCAGGGGAGCAAACGGG
rnacentral:rRNA from 1 species